rnacentral:rRNA from 1 species
GAUUAGCUAGUAGGUGGGGUAAAGGCUCACCAAGGCGAUGAUCGGUAACUGGUUUGAGAGAAUGGCCAGUCACACUGGGACUGAGACACGGCCCAGACUCCCGCGGGAGGCAGCAGUGGGGAAUUUUUCGCAAUGGGCGCAAGCCUGACGGAGCAAUACUGCGUGGAGGAUGAAGGCUUGUGGGCUGUAAACUCCUUUUCCCAGAGAAGAAGUUCUGACGGUAUCUGGGGAAUAAGCAUUGGCUAACUACGUGCCAGCAGCUGCGGUAAUACGUGGAAUGCAAGCGUUAUCCGGAUUUAUUGGGCGUAAAGCGUCUGUAGGUGGCUUCGCAAGUUUGCUGU